UUAAGCGACUAAGCGUACACGGUGGAUGCCCUGGCAGUCAGAGGCGAUGAAGGACGUGCUAAUCUGCGAUAAGCGCCGGUAAGGUGAUAUGAACCGUUAUAACCGGCGAUUUCCGAAUGGGGAAACCCAGUGUGAUUCGUCACACUAUCAUUAACUGAAUCCAUAGGUUAAUGAGGCGAACCGGGGGAACUGAAACAUCUAAGUACCCCGAGGAAAAGAAAUCAACCGAGAUUCCCCCAGUAGCGGCGAGCGAACGGGGAGGAGCCCAGAGCCUGAAUCAGCAUGUGUGUUAGUGGAAGCGUCUGGAAAGGCGCGCGAUACAGGGUGACAGCCCCGUACACAAAAGCGCAUGUGCUGUGAGCUCGAUGAGUAGGGCGGGACACGUGGUAUCCUGUCUGAAUAUGGGGGGACCAUCCUCCAAGGCUAAAUACUCCUGACUGACCGAUAGUGAACCAGUACCGUGAGGGAAAGGCGAAAAGAACCCCGGCGAGGGGAGUGAAAAAGAACCUGAAACCGUGUACGUACAAGCAGUGGGAGCUGAGGGAAAGGCGAAAAGAACCCCGGCGAGGGGAGUGAAAAAGAACCUGAAACCGUGUACGUACAAGCAGUGGGAGCCCCACCACUAAGCCAGUGGUGAACUCCACAUACGCAUCCUUUGCUGAGGAUACGGUUAACGGAGCGCAAGCGACGUUCAACCGCAAAAGAAGCAGAGGGGGCUUAGUGGUGGGGUGACUGCGUACCUUUUGUAUAAUGGGUCAGCGACUUAUAUUCUGUAGCAAGGUUAACCGUAUAGGGGAGCCGGAGGGAAACCGAGUCUUAAUUGGGCGUUAAGUUGCAGGGUAUAGACCCGAAACCCGGUGAUCUAGCCAUGGGCAGGUUGGGCGUUAAGUUGCAGGGUAUAGACCCGAAACCCGGUGAUCUAGCCAUGGGCAGGUUGAAGGUUGGGUAACACUAACUGGAGGACCGAACCGACUAAUGUUGAAAAAUUAGCGGAUGACCUGUGGCUGGGGGUGAAAGGCCAAUCAAACCGGGAGAUAGCUGGUUCUCCCCGAAAGCUAUUUAGGUAGCGCCUCGUGAAUUCAUCUCCGGGGGUAGAGCACUGUUUCGGCUAGGGGGCCAUCCCGGCUUACCAACCCGAUGCAAACUGCGAAUACCGGAGAAUGUUAUCACGGGAGACACACGGCGGGUGCUAACGUCCGUCGUGAAGAGGGAAACAACCCAGACCGCCAGCUAAGGUCCCAAAGUCAUGGUUAAGUGGGAAACGAUGUGGGAAGGCCCAGACAGCCAGGAUGUUGGCUUAGAAGCAGCCAUCAUUUAAAGAAAGCGUAAUAGCUCACUGGUCGAGUCGGCCUGCGCGGAAGAUGUAACGGGGCUAAACCAUGCACCGAAGCUGCGGCAGCGAACGUAUCACUUAAAGCGAUUCAGCGGGUUACGAUUGACGGAGCGAAGCGACGUCAAAGCGUAUACAAAGUCGAGUCGGUUUAAGGAUACGUUCGUUGGGUAGGGGAGCGUUCUGUAAGCCUGUGAAGGUGGCCUGUGAGGGUUGCUGGAGGUAUCAGAAGUGCGAAUGCUGACAUAAGUAACGAUAAAGCGGGUGAAAAGCCCGCUCGCCGGAAGACCAAGGGUUCCUGUCCAACGUUAAUCGGGGCAGGGUGAGUCGACCCCUAAGGCGAGGCCGAAAGGCGUAGUCGAUGGGAAACGGGUUAAUAUUCCCGUACUUGGUGUUACUGCGAAGGGGGGACGGAGAAGGCUAUGUUGGCCGGGCGACGGUUGUCCCGGUUUAAGCGUGUAGGUGUGUGUUCCAGGUAAAUCCGGUUCACUUUAACACUGAGGCGUGAUGACGAGGCACUACGGUGCUGAAGCAACAAAUGCCCUGCUUCCAGGAAAAGCCUCUAAGCAUCAGGUAACAUCAAAUCGUACCCCAAACCGACACAGGUGGUCAGGUAGAGAAUACCAAGGCGCUUGAGAGAACUCGGGUGAAGGAACUAGGCAAAAUGGUGCCGUAACUUCGGGAGAAGGCACGCUGACAUGUAGGUGAAGUGAUUUACUCAUGGAGCUGAAGUCAGUCGAAGAUACCAGCUGGCUGCAACUGUUUAUUAAAAACACAGCACUGUGCAAACACGAAAGUGGACGUAUACGGUGUGACGCCUGCCCGGUGCCGGAAGGUUAAUUGAUGGGGUCAGCGCAAGCGAAGCUCCUGAUCGAAGCCCCGGUAAACGGCGGCCGUAACUAUAACGGUCCUAAGGUAGCGAAAUUCCUUGUCGGGUAAGUUCCGACCUGCACGAAUGGCGUAAUGAUGGCCAGGCUGUCUCCACCCGAGACUCAGUGAAAUUGAACUCGCUGUGAAGAUGCAGUGUACCCGCGGCAAGACGGAAAGACCCCGUGAACCUUUACUAUAGCUUGACACUGAACAUUGAGCCUUGAUGUGUAGGAUAGGUGGGAGGCUUUGAAGCGUGGACGCCAGUCUGCGUGGAGCCGGCCUUGAAAUACCACCCUUUAAUGUUUGAUGUUCUAACGUGGACCCGUGAUCCGGGUUGCGGACAGUGUCUGGUGGGUAGUUUGACUGGGGCGGUCUCCUCCUAAAGAGUAACGGAGGAGCACGAAGGUUGGCUAAUCCUGGUCGGACAUCAGGAGGUUAGUGCAAUGGCAUAAGCCAGCUUGACUGCGAGCGUGACGGCGCGAGCAGGUGCGAAAGCAGGUCAUAGUGAUCCGGUGGUUCUGAAUGGAAGGGCCAUCGCUCAACGGAUAAAAGGUACUCCGGGGAUAACAGGCUGAUACCGCCCAAGAGUUCAUAUCGACGGCGGUGUUUGGCACCUCGAUGUCGGCUCAUCACAUCCUGGGGCUGAAGUAGGUCCCAAGGGUAUGGCUGUUCGCCAUUUAAAGUGGUACGCGAGCUGGGUUUAGAACGUCGUGAGACAGUUCGGUCCCUAUCUGCCGUGGGCGCUGGAGAACUGAGGGGGGCUGCUCCUAGUACGAGAGGACCGGAGUGGACGCAUCACUGGUGUUCGGGUUGUCAUGCCAAUGGCACUGCCCGGUAGCUAAAUGCGGAAGAGAUAAGUGCUGAAAGCAUCUAAGCACGAAACUUGCCCCGAGAUGAGUUCUCCCUGAGACUUAAAGUCUCCUGAAGGAACGUUGAAGACGACGACGUUGAUAGGCCGGGUGUGUAAGCGCAGCGAUGCGUUGAGCUAACCGGUACUAAUGAACCGUGAGGCUUAACCUU
rnacentral:rRNA from 1 species